rfam:Salmo salar isolate Sally breed double haploid chromosome ssa28, whole genome shotgun sequence.
UGGACUCACUACUGUAAGUCGCUCUGGAUAAGAGCGUCUGCUAAAUGACUGAAA